rnacentral:rRNA from 1 species
GACGAACCGUGCGAACGUUGUUCGGAUUCACUGGGCUUAAAGGGCGCGUAGGCGGGCGACCAAGUCGGGGGUGAAAUCUUUUGGCCCAACCGGAAAAGUGCCCCCGAUACUGGCCGCCUCGAGGGGGGUAGGGGCAUGCGGAACUUCCGGUGGAGCGGUGAAAUGCGUAGAUAUCGGAAGGAACGCCGGUGGCGAAAGCGGCGUGCUGGACCCCUUCUGACGCUGAGGCGCGAAAGCCAGGGGAGCAAACGGG